CCGGCGCGCCGCCGCCCGCCGCCCGGCGCCCUACACAUAUAUUUACGUGCACUCACUAGCUUUUGUUUGUAAACAAAUCAUAUUGUUUAUGUUCAACCCACCUGUUGUAUUUUUGUUUAAAAAAAUUGUAGUGUUCAUAAUCUUUGUUGACACAUGUGGCUUAUGUAAAUCAUGUUCCUAGACUUGAAAUGAUGAAACACAGUGUUUAUAUAAGCCACUUUGUUGUGUACAGGAAAUGUUGCAAAGAAUAAAAUCAUCAUAAAACAAAAGCUCUAACUUAACAGUAAUUAGUAUCUUAAUGUUUCCUUUUUAAUUUCCAUGCUACUCUUAAUAUGUAAACAAACAUGAAUGUCUCACAAUAAUUUCCAGAGUUGAUACAAGUUUACCAACCUAACAGAUAGGAAAAUAAUUUCAACAAUAUUUUUGCAAACACUGUCAGUGUCUUAUCAUAAAGGGGUAAACAAAAACAGAAUCUUGCAAUUGUACGAUCAAUGUCCAAGCUUAAUGAAUAGUUUGAUAAUUAUUAUCACUUGUCACUAGUUGUAUUGAGCAUAUACAGAUAAGAUACAUCCAAAAUAAGUUUGUACGCUGUUUGUAUGAUGCAAUACUUAGAAAUGUGAUUAUUGUCCUGCGAUAAUGCAAGUCAUGAUUACUUAGACAUCAUUUUGAUUAGUGCACUACAUGUCAUUAUUCAUGUUAAAUUAACUUUGAAAAUAUUUUAGUUGCACAUUUGCAUCUUUAAUUAUGUACUUACCAAUGUAAUUACUUCACACCUCACACCUCUUUCCCCAUAAGGACAUGUCCGAAUAUAAAUAUUAAGAUACUCUUCAAUUGUUCCUAAUUUAUCAAAAGUAUGUUUAAAACAAAGGAUAAAUAACUAUUUAAGUCUGCUUGCGCUUUCAAUAGUAGCUUCUAUUAUAAAACAGUAAAAUACUUGGUAAAUGAAAAAUUGAAGCAAAUAUUUAAUUAUUUUAAAAUAAAUGCACAACAAUAGUAGGUAUGCAGCUACAUAAAUAUAUUUAAAUAGGUAUUCUUUCUGUGUUUUAAUAUAUUUCUUUAAGAUUGUCGAGAAUAUUUAUUGUAUUAAAUACAUUUAGGAUUAAGCCAAUUUUCUUCAAGCAGUACUGAUAAGAUUUUUGUGUAGUUUAAAAUGACUUGCCGAUUUACAUUUGCCAUAGUUUAUUAGUUUUACCUCAUUGUAUUCCUCAAUACUCUGUAUUAUGAGCGCUACAUAAAUAACUUAAUUAGUCUAUUAAUAUUAACCAGAUAAGAGGUGACACAAUAUGUACGGUUUGCAUGCAGUUAUUAAUUCUGCACAGAUAUGCUCUUUAACCUUCUGAUAAUGACAAUAGGUGGCACCACUGGUCAUAUCAUUAAUAUUGUAUCUUAAGAUAUGGGUAUUUUAAUUUUAUUAAACUUUAUACUUGGUAUUUAAACAUUUCCUGCUAGCGAGGUUGCUCGAAUUUUGACAAUUUUGCAGAUGAUUAUUAUUUUAUGUAUAGGGCAUAGUAAGCUCACUACUAAUUACAAUCUAAUUGCUAUUCUCUCUGAGUACCCCACAAACAUUGCUGUUGUAGCUUAAAUUUUAAUUUUGCAUAAGACAUUCUAUAGGCUUUUAUAAUUUUGGGAUUUACUCUAAUUUUGCAUUGAAAAGUUUAAAUAUAACCCUGUAAAUAAGCGGCAGUACCAUAAAUCACAGUUUUCCUAUAUUCUAAUCAGCACUGUAGAAGAAUAACAUAGAUUAAGGAAGAUUGCCAAAAAUUUAAUACAAAAAAUAAGGCAAAUCAACAUUUAAUGUGUAUUAUAACAUUAAAUAUUACCCUUUUUUCUUGCUUUGGUAAUUGUAGCCCAGUCCUCAAUUAUUACAUUUACAUUGUAAGAUAUAUGUAUGCACUUUUCCGUGACAUUGACUUCUAAUGCAAUUUAAAUUGCAGAUUACUCAUAACAUUUAUUUUAUUUAUUUUUACCUGCUGCAGCACUCACAAUGUAUAAUUUUAAUUAUUUUUACAUUGUAUUACAUUAUACAUUGCUAAUUGGUUUACUCCGAAUUAAGAAGUGUUUAAAUCAUUAUCUUCUACACACCUAUUAUUUUCUAAUUAGGAUCUUACCAUGAUACAUCAUAUAUUAUCUUUCAUCUUUCUUGCUUGCCUUCUCUAUUUAAGACACUUACAUUGUGACCUACUGAGCAUUAAAUACUUAAUGAUGUAAACAAAUUAAUUGUGGCAAUGUUUUGUCAUUAUAGGUCAUUCAACUAGGUUUGUUUAUCUUGUGUUAUCUCAAAUCUGAAUUGAUAACUUGAGAAGUAGGUGGGUGUCCUAUUUCAGCCUUUGCAAUGACUAGUGAUUUAUCAUUUUAAUAUAGGUCUCACAUUUUCUAACUGUGUUUAUUUUUAUAUCUAGUCUUAUAGAUCAUUGAUUAGAGAUAGCUAAAAAUACGGCACACAUUCGGGGCUCUACCAUAUGUUUAUCACACAAAAUGCCUCAAUAGUAGUAAAUAAUCUAAAAAAAAAUAUAUUUCGUAACGAAAAUGCUUGACAUAAUUAUAGUCAUCAAUGCCCUGUACUGCUACGUCAGUUGUUAGAUAGGUGGCCAGGACAAACAAUACUUUUGCUAUUCUUUACAAUGUACUGUAAAGAUUGCAUAAAUGGACAACGGGUUGUUUGCCCAUUACCUACAUAGCUAAAUAAUAACACGUGUUACACAAUACAUUUGUAAUUUGCCGACGGGACUUUUUUUAUUAUGUUAUGAUUUUGCGUUGUCAUGAAAACUAAAGUAAAACUUGAUGAGACAUACUUACAUUGUUAUCAAGUCAAAUAUAAAUAUCUAACAAUUUUUAUAAGACUUGGCGAAAUAAACUUGUUACAGGUAGUGCUGAAAUGUUACAAACAUUUAUUUUCUGAACCUCGGAAUUCCUAAACUGUCACCACUCGAGUUAAUUAAAAGUUUCCACGAAUUUGUCGAAUCAUGAUGAGCUAUCUAAUACUCCUGAUUCCUAAGUGAUAAUGGGUUUAGUUACGUAUUCUGGUGACUCAUUAUAAUAAUGUUUUUGCAGCACCCAUGUCAACAUUCGUUUCUUUUCCCUACAUUACACCUUUUUCGCUGCAAUUCAAGUACCUAUGAUAUUCAGAAUGGAAUCUGUCCCCAUUAGCAAUGCUAGUAAUAUUCAAAUCCAUUGCUUAACCUGGAAGACUUGGGAUCGUCUUGUGUCUAAUCCAAUAUGGUGGCUAGCCUACUACAAUAUUUCAUGUAACGGUGACUAAACGGUUACCGAAUAAGUUGAUCGAUGCCGAUACCGUUGGCUCCGUCGUGAUGUGUGCGCUGACGUCAUCUCCCACCUGUGAAUCACAGAUUCUAGAAUGCGUUAUAGGUAUUCUUAGUGCCUCUCCAGUCUCCACAUGCCCCGAUUGACUCCUGAAUGUGGACCACCAUCUUAGUGGAACUUUGUCUAGUGUGUUUCUGCUCUAGGUACCGAAUAGAAGAGCGUAGGAGAGUAUUUACUGUCUUUACGGUUCACGGAACGUGUGCAAAAGUUACGAGAAAUCGGCCAUUUGUAAUGAAAAGUAAAAAUUUUAUUAUUUAUGACGACGGUAACCUUUUGAAGUUUUCGGCCAUAGUGAUUUAUUAGAUGCUCUAUAAGGCAAUAUAACAAUAGACCGGUGUCCCCAAAUCCGUUAUGUAAAUAUUUUUGAUACAUUUAUAUCAAACGUCUGGGGUCAACCGCUUUUAGGGUUGAAUUCCGAAUUUUUUGAUCCAUCAAGAGAUUACAGCGGUAGUCACCCUUUGACUUCUGAAAGCUUGACUUUACUUAAAACAUAACCAGUUGGUUAUGUUGUAUUCUACCGCAUAUUUUUUUAUAAGCACAACAUUCUGAUGUUUAAGGAUAUACUUGAAACAAAAAUUUUAGCUUUCUUUAACUGUCAUUUCAAUAAGUGUUAUUUGUUCGCUAGUUUAGAUGCUAAACCCUAAAAUAUUCUUUAUUAUCCAAGUACAAUAGUCUAGUCACUAAGAACCAGUUGCUUGUUCACAAGACUAAACUGCAAAGAUAAAUUCUUAAAGGGUAAAGCGAUGAGUCACGGAGUAUGAAUGUGAAGAAGGCUGUGCUUUCACUGGCACUUGCCGUUUUAGUCUCUGUUUUCCUGUUACACUUACAUGUAAAUCAAGUUUUAUGUACAACAAGUAUGCUGUUGCCAAGUGAACAAGGGCAAGGUGACAAAGUAAAAAUGAUAAACUCAACGUUCACGAUGAAAGUUUCUUCAAUAAAUUUAACUCAAAUCACACGCUAACCUAAUCGUGAAACAACCCCUUUCAAAGAGGUUAAAUGUCUUUCGAAUCGCGGUCGGAUAUUGAUAGUUAAAACUAAUUAACAGCCACCAAACUUACCACUUUAUAUUUAUAGCUCAAAGUUAGCCGGGAUUAACAAUGAAAGGUUUCCGCAAGUCGUUAUUAUCAGUCGGUACCGUACUACCGUCGCGCGAUACGGUCUCAAUGUUAAGGACACCCUUUACAAGACAUGAGGCAGACACAAAUUGAUUAAUAAACACGGCAGGCAGUCACAGGGCUCUUAAUUAAAUUCAAGCCACCCCUAAGGAGUAAACAAGUACACGACAAGUACGUAAUUUGUUUAUACCAACAGUACGACGGAAAAUGUUCUUGAUUUACGUAAACACUUUACCAGACUGUCUUUUCUUUUUCCAUAUUUACUGGUAAUGAGAAUACUCCCCUAUUAUAACGUCAAGAAAUUCCUCGACUUGUAUUUGCCAAGUUUUCUUCGCAGUAUUUAUUGUGCUAGAUAUGUGGAUAAUCGCAAAUUUAUCUUUGUUAAAAUUCACAGAAAUCACGACAUUCGAAAUGCACUUGCAUUUCUUUUCAAUAGCGGAAAGUAUAUAUAAAAAAAGUGUUUUAAUAAAAAGCAAAAACCCAUCCAUUAAAAAAAAACUAUUAUUACUAAGUUACAUGAACUUUCGCACUACAUGACAUCAUACAUGAUCGGUCUUCUAAUAGACAAACGUACUGUACGUAGUGUACGCAGUGUACGCGACAAGGCCGGACCAGGCACAUGCGACACAAAUACUUAAUGCACACUAUACAUGGAGCUGACUAGUCGACAACUUACUGUCACCGAUAGCUUUUUAUGAUAGCUAAUUAAUAGCCUGGUAGGCAAUUGAUUUUAUAAUUAAAUCGAUUAAGCUAAGAUUGUCAACCGUUUUCUGCAUUUUUGUCCCUACUACUUACGGUACUGAUCGUCUUGGUAAAGUUCAUUGAUUCUUAAUUGAGAUAAAGCUUGAUAAAAAAAAGCUUUCGUAAAUUCAUAUAAAGUCACAUCUAUGCAUAGACAAAUAUAUGCUUUGCGGAAUACUUACAAUAAGCGGUAACGAUCUUCGGUAUAAAUAUUUGUUAAGUCAUAAGUCAAGCCCGCAAACUUAAUGCCAAUAUUGAAAGUGUAACAGGAAAACGGUGCUUGUAAUGACAAGUGCACAAAAAGUGAAAGCACUGCGUUCUUUACAUUCAAUCUCGAUGAGUCAUACUGAUGUUUUUGCCAUAAAUUUUCCAGUAUGCUAAUCAAUCAAUAAUAUUCCGUUCUGAUAUAGCUACUCAAAGAUAGUUAAGAGUUAUAAUUAUGUCUAAUUAGCUUUUUUAACGUAUAUUUUAUAUCGUAGUUAUAUUUGGAAACUGGCCUUCCUUGAAUGCAUACUCUAGUUGUUUAGGUUGCCUUACAGUCUGGGGGCGUUACGUUGACAAUAACAACAAAUAUUACUAACUGUAAAUCACAUAUACCACUGAAAUAAUUCGGUCCUUUAUUUAUUAAAUAUGUAUUGUAUAAAAACACAUGCUAACAUUUAAUGCUUAUAAGAUUGUUUACCAUUUUUUAAAGUACCUUUACAAAUGGACUAUAGUUUCUCUGAAUAUCAGUCAUUUCUUUUAGGUAAACAAAAACUUAAGCUUAUUAUUCAUAUAACUUAUACAUACCACUUUGUUUAUGUAAUACUUUGAUUUACAAACGCUAAAAGCGGCGUCUGCACACGCGCUUGUCAUUCACCCAAACAUUUUAUCACCUAUAUUUGUUACCCAGAUAGGACAUAAUUAUUUUACUCACAAUAUGAAUGAUGCUAAUUAAUUCUACAUAAAUUACGUGCCUACUUACCUAGGUACUUAAUAUUUAACGACUCAGUAAUUACUAGAUUGCAAUUGUAAACAAGUGUAUUUACGGAGCAUAUUAAAAAUUAUCAAAUGAAAAAUCUAAGUUACGAUUCCAUGCAAUAAUAUUGCCCUUUCUCGUAUAAGUAAAGUGGCAUGAUUUCAUUCAUUGCUCGGAGAUGGAAAACUACUCGCACAGUACAUUUGAGAUCAGCGUUCAAUGUUCAUUUACACACCUAGUCUUAGGGCUGAUACGUAUCUGAUAUGCCUCUAAACAAGUGUCACGUUUGCAUCAAGCUAUGAUAAAUAUCGGUCAAUGUAUAGAAAUGUAAUUUUGUUCCGGUUAGUCACGUGACUUCCACAUUUACACGGACGACCCUAACAAAGUUGACGCUUCCAGAAAUGUCGUUUACCUGAUUUUACUAUUCUGUACUUAAUUAACUGUUUUACUCUUGAAUUGUUGGUUUCAAUUUCAGUAAAAAAAAAAAACAAUUGAAAUAGUUGCAUCUGCUCCAAAUUCUCAGAAUAUUAAAAGCGUUACCCAUUUCAAGCGACGACUGUCAGCGGAUAUUAAAAUUCCCCUUACUCAGUGCACCCUUAUUACUUUUCUACAGCAGAAGUCCACGUAUGUUCAUCUACACAAACUUGUAAUCUUUACAAAAGAAUUUCUUUUGAAUAUUCCUAGUGACUUUUAGUUUGUAUCACCCCUUGACUAGUGUCGUUCUACGCAUAAUAUUUUGUACUGUUAUUGAUAAUGUCCCGAAGUAGGUCGCUAUACAGAUCUUAUAUAGUAAUAGGUUUCAAUGUUAAAUUCGCAUAAGUGUUUGUUUAUUCAUACAGUUCGAGUACUGCAAGAGAAGUCAAUAGGAAUAGUAAGGGCAUGCUACUUUAUUGUUUUUGACAAUUGGUAUUACUGACAAACAAUGCUUUGGAUCAGGCAAACUUACACACCUUAAAAAUAUAACGUUCUUACCCCAAACACGGUACCUUUAGCUACUUAGCUUUUCGUUCCUAAGUUCAGUCUACCUGAAAACUUUAUUGUGUCCUAUUUCAGUAAGCUUUGACCAAAAAGGUUUUUAAUGUUUUUGUUAGUAACGCUUUAUACCCAAGUGUCAAGGCCGGUUGAGCUGACCUUAGCCCGCCGUAUUUUCGUCCUUGAUAUUGCUUUGUAUUUCUAUUUUAAUUGCAUGUUUCGUUGCUGAGAUCUAUUAAAGUUAUUUAUGAUGUAGUAGCCGCAAGUAGCCGCUAUCCAAAAAGUGUACCUAUAUCCAAUCCAAAUAAUUUCGAUUCUCCAUAUUACUUGCGUUCUGAUAACAUGGUUGCUUUAUUACCUAUACAAUCUUUGCUGUUUACUCAGUGCACCCAUAGUAAUGCAAAACCAGAUGCGUUUCCAUCGCGCGUUUGUUUACAAGAGUAGUACAAUUAACUUCCAACGCAUUACGUGUUCAAUACGUCACACUUCAAUUACCGUUUAGAGUGGACCUGAUUUGUUAUAACUGCUUCAAACAUUGCCCGUUUCCGGGGAAUUUAUUGAUGAUGGGAUUUCUAGUGAAGCGCCUAGGAAGCGAAUUGUUUUAGACCAUUUACAUGUAAUUGUUCUUUCUUCUGUCAAUGUUUCUUUUCUUCCUCAUAUUAACUGGGAAGCAAUAAAUUUGUGGGUUGCUUGGCUGCAAAAAACGUGUUCCGUACUGAUGUAACGAGAACUAAAUUAUUUAGGGGAAAAACAAAGAAUAGUAAGCUAUUUAAGACAAUUAUAAUUAUAAUAUAAUAGAAUGUUAUCUGAUGUUAUGCCUGUAAAAUGUCUACUGCCUUUAUGCAACAACUGCGUUUGGAUGAGCUUCUAGUCUCUAAUUCCUAAUCUAAAAAAUAAUUCAUAAGUAAAUUAUCUCCGAUCCCAUCCUCCCUUAACGAGAGCGUAAGUGUCAUUACAGUGUGUUACUACACGAAUGUAUCCUUGUACACGUGUUUACAUCGCGGCGUGACGAACUGUUUGUGCGUCUGCGCUUACGUAACAUACACGGGUCGGUGUGGUGAGCAGCCGCGACGCGGCUAUUUGUUAUGACGGAUUCAGAAACCACGGUGAUCAAGAAAUACUUAAGGCCUUUCUCUUUCUCUAUAGAUCUUUCGUCUUUUUUAUUACAUACAAUCUAGUUAACUCAUUUUUUGAAAGUUUGAGAUACAUAGAGUCAAUAUUUUUUUAGGUUUAAUAUCAUUUGUGUAUUAUUAUCAUGACUCCAGUUUUGAGUAAUUGGAGGUCUUUCAACCCCUAUAAUAAAAUAAUGGUUUAUCUUAGUAUUCCACUAUAUGUGAAGAUUUAGCUUUCGAAAACGGAUUUAUAACUCUAUCUUUUUAAAGCGAAGAUAAUUAUUAUUUAUUUAGGGCCUUGUUUGUUUAAAUUUUACCAAUAUUAAUUGUUAAUUUAUGUCUGCCGCCAUUUACGAUGAAUCGAAGUCAGUUAACACGUAAGACUCAUCAUAAACUUCUAGAAAUUCAGUGUGACUGUAAUAGUUCUCGUAUACCCUAAUCGCAUACGACACAAUAUCACGCGCGUGCCGUCUACACAAUGCUCAGAUAUGUUUUUAUAGCCAAUUCAUAGCCGAUAACUGUCGCCUUAUCAAUACUUUAGUUUUUAAUUAUGUCACUGAUAAUUCGCGGAGGUGAUGGGUGAAUGACGUCAUUCGUGUAUACUAAACACAUUUUGAUACAUGCGUAUUGCGAUCUCAAGGUUCCUUGUGUCAUAUAAUGUAUUAUGUAAUAUUCUGAUUUAUUUUUAGUACAUCGCUUUGAAUAAGCUCUCAAGUGGUUUCGGAAUAAUAGCUGAAUCCAUUUAUUUGUAUUGGUUUUAUUUAUAGGCGGUCCGCAAACGUUGACUGCUAUUAUGAUGUAACUUUAAAUUAUUCCUUUUUUGUAUCCUUGCUUAUUUGGAAGAUUUUUUUUAAGUACAACUGUGCUCUUAUAAAUUUACCAGUUAGGUUGAAAAUAGUCACAGUAAUCAGUUCAAACAAAAAUCAUCCGUUGUGUUCAAAACCUUCGGAAAAGCAGGUUCUCACUCAUAUUAUAGUAUUCAUCAGCAAAAAGGAAAAAAAAGUCACGUUUUUGUAUUGAAUAUUAAAUUAGAAUACAGAAAUAGUUUGUGAAUAUUUAAUCAUACAAGUUAUCACACGUGUGCGCUCGGAUAAAUAUUUAUCUAUCGCCGAUUCGCUAGAGACCGUGGCGUUUUAAUUGACUGUUGUUUUUUUUAAAGUCGCUUCUAGUAACAUUACAAACGGUUCUAACGAAUUUGAUCAGAUAUUACUAUUUCUAGAGGUUUGAUAUUAACAGAUUUUUUAUUAACUUUGUUCUAUACUCGUGCAUUUUAAUAGUGUUCUUCUGAUUUAUUGGAAUCUAUAAAUGUCUUCUGUUUUUAUCUUCAGCAUCCCUUUGUUACAUUAAAUAGACACACAUAAUAUAUAUAGGUUCUUUCACUUUUAUUUACAAUUUAAAUUAUAAUUGUUUACCUAAUUUCCUAAUGUUUUCGUAUUCAUAUCUUAUUAUUUUUCAAGGCGUCUACAAACGAAUUUCGUUCCCGUAUAUUUCAUAAGCCACGCAUGCGCGGCGGUGCAGUGCCAACGUUCCGUUGCGCAAUGACACACUGUAUUGGUAAACAAGUGGGAUCUUUUGCCGACUAGUCAAUCAUGUAUCAAGUAGGUGAGACGGGGGAAGUGUUUGUAUCAAGGUUCUAAGCCGCGCUAUCUAGUAAUAGAAAAGUUGUUGACUGUUUUUUAGUUUGUCUACGAGCCAUUGACGAAUCUCGGGUGAAGGCCACAGGAUGUUUUGAUGUUGAAUUUCGUAAUGUACGUUCUCGAGAGUGAGUGAGACGGAUGCACUCGACAUGUGGCUGUAACGUACGUUUUAAUUAUGUAAGCUGAGAGUAACACGAAUGUUUAAAAAGUGAGUCAAAGGGUUCGACUACCCCCUCCGUUGCACGAGGGUUGAAACUUAACUGAAUAGCUUAAGCGCAAAAACCUGCAAAACGUAUUUUGUAAAUUGAGACCGCGUGGCCAUUGCCACAAGCCACGAGUUUUCUAAAAAAGACAAGUCAGAAUAUCGAUGCGAAAGACAGUAACUCUUUAAGUCCGACCUAUAAAAAUUAACAAGAAAAUGUGCUAGAGUCAGCGUGACACCUUGUAAUAAAACCUUUUUUGAGGCGUUCAGGCCUUAGCUUUGUAUACAGAAAUGCCAUGUCAUGAUAAGGUUUGCUGUUAUUCAGUAUGUAAUCAAAGUAGUAGCACUACUAAACUUUGAUUAAAUACUUUUUUCAAGAAUUAAGAAUUAGCUUAGAUUGGUGUCAUUGGCGCUAAGCGCGAGCUUUUGAGAAAAUCACAGCUUUUGGAGGCAGAAAAAUUCAAUAGCAAUGUUGCUUCAAUCCUACUGUGGCUACAUACAAUGAAUCAGAUCAGAGAUCAAAAAAUGGAUUUAACAUUUUCCUGUAAAACAAAUUGGAUAAACUAUAUAGUAUUUUCAUAAAAUCUUACAGAGAUCCAACCAGUCCUGUCACGGACUUAUUUAUCAUGCCUUUGCAUAGCCUAGUGUCCAUGUACUUGUUUAAGGUGUAAAGAAUAAUAUUAUGGGUGUGCUGACUUGCUCCGCAGGGUUGCAUUGUAUUUUUAUACUUAAGUAUAUAAGCAAUGCUACCUAUGGCCUAUAUCUGAUCCCCUCGUCUUCACGCUGUUGUUCGAUGAGGUACGAGCGAAUGAUUUGUGUGAUUUGAAUUAGAUGCUUCAGUGAUACAUUAAUACAGAAAUAACACUGAAAGUUACGUAAUGAAGUUUUAAUACAGCGCAAAUAAUUACUAGACCAUAACAUGAAUGAGGGAAAGAAAUCUAAGGAUCUAUAUGUGUGAUGUUUAUAAUAAUAUCAGAGAUAAGGGUGCCUCUGUUUAUGUAGCCAAGUAUCCACCAAAGCGGAGCGGUUACCUGGAUACGGGGCUUUGGAUAACAUUUUCGAAUUUAAUCCACCGAAACUAAAAAAAAACACAAUUUGAUAGACACUUAACAAUAAACACAAUGUAGCAAAACCAUCAAACAUCUGUUGAUCUAUAUUAGUCGUUGUGAUAAACGCUUAACGAACCGUCAAAACCGAACCUUCAUAAUGAAUUAAUUUCCCAUUUUAUCUCCGACAGGAUAAAGCCUUACACGUGGACUCUUACACGUGUUACAUGUGGAAUUAUGUAUUCUACAUGCGUGAAAGAGAAAAUUUUAAGCUUACAUGAACAGGAAAGUUUUAAGGUUACGUACACAAAUACAAACACAAACAAGAUAGCCGGGUGAUGUAAUGUCACGAAUAUUUUAUGAUGAUUGCGAGAGGUACUACCAGUGUUUGGAGGAACUUAAGCAUUCGAGCAGGCCCCGUUUGUAGUUCUAGUGCCGUUUAUAACUACUAUAUGGGACCAAAAAACUAUUUGCAAAGAAAUUGUUUUACAUUAGGCUUAUAUGCGCCAUUGCUGGAAAGUUAUUUUGGUAGUCUUCGAUGGGAAGACAGAAUCGAUUUUCGCGAUUGAUAUAGAUAAUAACUAAGAUCACCAUGCUUCAUAUAAUAUUUUUAUGGAUGACUUAUUUAAUUUUAUUGUCUGUACAUAUUGUAUACUUACUAUACGUUUUCAAUUAUAACAUUUUCUAAUUGAAUUCAAAUUUAGGAAGCCUUA